rnacentral:rRNA from 1 species
UAAGGAAUAUUGGACAAUGGUCGCAAGACUGAUCCAGCCAUGCCGCGUGCAGGAAGACGGCCCUAUGGGUUGUAAACUGCUUUUGUACCAGAGAAAACCUAUCUACGUGUAGAUAGCUGAUAGUAUGGUAAGAAUAAGCAUCGGCUAACUUCGUGCCAGCAGCCGCGGUAAGACGAAGGAUGCAAGCGUUAUCCGGAUUCAUUGGGUUUAAAGGGUGCGUAGGCGGGCUUGUAAGUCAGUUGUGAAAUCUCUCAGCUUAACUGAGAAACUGCCAUUGAUACUGCAGGCCUAGAGUAUAGAUGACGUUGGCGGAAUAUGACAUGUAGUGGUGAAAUACUUAGAUAUGUCAUAGAACACCGAUUGCGAAGGCAGCUAACGAAACUAUAACUGACGCUGAGGCACGAAAGUGCGGGGAUCAAACA